AGUGAACAUCAUUUUAAAGGUACCUACUAAAUUCAGCUCAAAGGCCCUUCUUCAAGUGCUGGAUGGAGUCCAGGGGGCCAUGAGCAUUCUGCUAGUCCUACACCUGAAAGUUUUUCUAAUAAAUAAGCUCUAAGCAUGCA